rnacentral:rRNA from 1 species
CGGUAAAACUCGUGCCAGCCACCGCGGUUAAACGAGAAAGCCCAAGUUGAUAGUAUACGGCGCAAAGGGUGGUUAAGAAAGAUGAAAAAUAAAGUUAAACUAACUCAUUACCCUGAUAAGCCUACAUGAUAAAAUGAAGCCCAACCACGAAAGUGACUUUAAUUGAUCCGAAUCCACGAAAGCUAAGAAACAAACUGGGAUUAGAUACCCCACUAUG